GAUGAACGCUGGCGGCGUGCCUAACACAUGCAAGUCGAGCGGACAGAUGAGGAGCUUGCUCCUCGGACGAUAGCCGCGGACGGGUGAAAAACACGUGGAUAACCCACUUAUCAUACGGGGAUAACCACGGGAAACCGGAGCUAACACCGGAUGAGAUCUUGCACCGCAUGGGUCGAUAGUGAAAGUCGGUUUUGCUGGCACUUCUAGAUGGUUCCGCGCCGCAUUAGCUAGUAGGUAGGGUAACGGCCUACCAAGGCAACGAUGCGUAGGCGACGUGAGAGAGGGGUCGGCCACACGGGAACGGAGACACGGUCCAGGGGCCUACGGGAGGCAGCAGUAGGGAAUCUUACGCAGUGGGCGAGAGCCUUGCGGAGCGGCGCCACGUGUGUUAUGACGGUCUUCGGAUCGUAAAACUCUGUUAUUAGGGAAGAACAACUGUGUAAGUAACUAUGCACGUCUUGACGGUACCUGAUCAGAAAGCAACGGCUAACUACGUG
rnacentral:rRNA from 1 species